UACGUAGGGCGCAAGCGUUGUCCGGAAUUAUUGGGCGUAAAGAGCUCGUAGGCGGUUUGUCGCGUCGACUGUGAAAACCUGGGGCUUAACUCUGGGCCUGCAGUCGAUACGGGCAGACUUGAGUUCGGUAGGGGAGACUGGAAUUCCUGGUGUAGCGGUGAAAUGCGCAGAUAUCAGGAGGAACACCGGUGGCGAAGGCGGUUCUCUGGGCCUUACCUGACGCUGAGGAGCGAAAGCGUGGGGAGCGAACAGG
rnacentral:rRNA from 1 species